ACUACCUAUCCUUGGCAAUUCUGCGAGGGUGGGGGAGGGGUUAGUGGGUGGCUUCUAACUGUGUAAAUAGCGCUGAAAAUUGCAUGUGGCCUUUGACUGUCUCUAUAAUUGCAAGUCUCUUGCAGUAUUUUGCUUGGCAGCUUGAGAGGUUAACCCCUGAGGGUUAGAGGCCUGGAGCUCUCCGUCUAACUGGCAGAGGGGCUUCUCAAAGACUCGCUUGUUCACCUCCCAGUCUGGGCAAGGCGAAGCCUUCACUGAUUAUCUCGUGGAUGACAACGAGAGAGCCCAGGCACCUACCGCUUUUUUUUGUCACCUCUGACGGAAAAUUUCGCCCAUAUUGUAAUCCCAUCUAAAAAUCAGGAACAAGUACACCUGCAGAAUCUCAUUAGCUGACUUAAUUUAACAAGUAGUCAUUGCAGUACUUUCCAUAAGUGGACUUAAGGGAGGAAGUCGCUUAGGUCCAGACGCUCUGCGGCGCUCUACUGUUGUCGACGUGGAUAACGGCCUCUCCAGCUCGGGUCGGUGGCGAGGCUCCCUGCAGCUGCUGUCUGCGAGGCUGAUUAGUGCGUGGUGAUGAGAGCUUGAUGGCAGGGGAGCCCCCAACACACACACACACACACUGAAGGGGUUAAGCAGUUGGUUAGGGAGAGACCUGCUCUGUGUCCAAGAUGUUGAGUGCCGUGGCACGUUGGUGUGUUGUUACACUGCAUGAGGCCUCGUCUCCACUUGAUUGGGCCUGUAAGAUCACAGCCACCCCCCCCCCCCCCCCUUCAUCCGUUCUCUUUCUCUGCCAACCCUCCUCCCCGAGGGUUUCUUUCGCCACAUCCUCCCUGCUGAUUAUCACCACUACCAGAGCUGACUCUUGCACUCCAGCUGCUGUCCACACUUUGGCUCUGGGGCUAAUUCAACAAUGCUUGCAUGGUGGGAGCAAAGUUUUUCAGAGGGGGCCAUUUGUACGAACAUUCAGUGCUAAUACCAUGGUGUUUCUUUCUUUUUUUUAUCUGCCCGCCAGCAACACUCACUGCAUGCCUUUAAGUCACACUCUCCCUAGUGUCACAUGUAAACAAUAACCAGAGCUACAAGUGUUAAAAACUGAGAACAAGGUCGCAGUCUUGCAAAGACGGUGGGGCGGACCAACAUGUGUUGCUCUCCGCAGGUGUUUCCUCUGAGCAAGAACAGGACAGGGGUACAGCUUUCACUGGCCCAGAUGUAUUUAAAAUAUCUUAAAUUAUAAUAAUAUUAAGAUAUUCUAGCCCGAGCGUACCCUUAUCAAAGUUUCAUCGGGAUGCUGGCAUACGAGAUGUUCUUUCAGUCUUAGCUUCAAGAUUGAACUAGGGGCAUAAUUUUCUAUUAAAUUGCUUUAUAAUUUAAGUCUUUAUCUGAUAAAAGCAAGCAGGGAUGAUUCGUGACGUUGCUACAGAACCAUUCAUUUGUCCUUGUGAAGCUGGAAGAGAAAAAUAAUAAUUGAUUGUCGUCGGAGAUAUGGAGCACAUAGAGUCAGAAGUGUCUCAUGCACUCGAGUUUUUAGUGAAUCAUACUCAGUUAUAUGACAUUAUAACUGGAAAAAGAAUUGGGUCAAAUUCAGAAAAUUGUUUAUGGGGCAUCUUAAUUGUUUUAUGGCGAUACUCCGACAAAACUUGAUUCUAAUUUCCAUUUGGAGGUUGACGGGCGUCCCGAGACAUUGCACUUGAUAUCAAACAUGCUGCUUGGCCACUUGCCUGCAAGCUCUGGAGUGGAACGUUUUCUCAGUCGGUGUGCGAGGGCUCCGCUGAGGGUCUGCCGCGUGGAUGAGAUGCAGAAUGAACAGAGCGCAUCAUUAAGGUCACAGUAUGAAUAAUUAUACCCGGCUAUGGAAAGAGCAUGGACGGCCUCUUUUUCUCUUCCCCUCCCUGCCCCGCCUGAGUACAAAUGCAACAUCCAUGCCUUUUAGUCACAAAGAACUUUGUUUCAAAUGGAGCUUCCACCGUCUACUUAUACAAAGACGAGAGGGGGAGAGCAAGACUUGUAUCAACAUGACAAUUUUCCGUCAUUAGGCCUAAUGAUAGGCACAGACUGUGGGGAUCAAGGGGAGCAGCCAAAGGAGAGGCGCAUUCAGGUGUUGGCUGAGUGCUGACCUCCUUCCUGUCUUUGUUGCAGACUUAACUCGGAACAAAAAGUAAAAUGAGGGACUUGCGGACUAAAGGCGCUGCAGCCGCAGCUGAAUGUCAAGCAGGCCGGCCCUCCGCAGACAAAUGGCUUAAUUGGCAAAUUUGCAUGUCGGUUCAUUUGCGGGCAGCUAAUUCAAUAAGAGGUUCUUUUUUUUUUUUUUUUCUCGUUUGUAUCCUAACCUAAAACGUCCAAAAAAAUGCCCUAGCUGUUAACUUGAAGACAAAGUGGGCUCGAUGUCUUGUUUCAUUUUACAGUUAAGUUGAAUUAAGUCAAAAGCUAUAUUUUUCAAAUUCCUUCCUCGCCCGGACUUGGCUGGGGUAAUUGGUCAUUUUGCAGCCCAUUUCAAGCAGCUGGGAUGCUGGCCUGACCCCUGCUGCUGCUGUAAUAGGGGGGAAGGGGGGGUGGUCAUUUCUCCCGGCUCGCUGAAGGCCUUUGCACACUCUGACCUGUGAAUACAGUUGCUUGGAAUACGACAAAAAUAAAUGGAAUAUGGAUUUUAUAUCUAGUUGCAUUUUAAUACUAAGGUGAGAAACUCCAGGUUAACAAACAUCCAUUCAGCUUUUUGUCUGUGCUGAAUAAUACAAAGCCGUAUCGUAAUGGAUAAUAAAAUGGUAUCACGUAAUGUGAGUCUAAUGGACUUGAGUUUCCUGGGAUCUCAAUUAUGAGUCAUAUUUUUUUUUUUAUCUGUUCCAGAUAGAAAAUGUUAUGAAAUACCAAAAUUGUGCAAUCUCACCUACACUUUGUUGAAAAAAAUAAGACAUCAAGUGAAAUGAAAAUACUGUCCAACUUUAUAUGCUGUUUUGUAGCACUUCUGUAUAACUCCCAAUCAGUAUUGAUCAUUUGUUACACCUUUGAGUCAAAAUAAAAAAAUUCAAUUAACUACACAAGAAAAUGUUGUUUUUUUGAUAAGAAAAAAAAAUCUAUCAUGUGAAUUUUAUUUGGUCCUCAUAACAAUCAUUCAGCAAUCCAAUUCCUCUUUUUUUUUUCUGUCUGUUGUAGGCACAAAGCAAAUCAAUUUCACAUUUUGCCGCCACAUUGAACAUGAAAAUAGACACUGAAUCCAGUUAAUUAUGUCGCAUCUACUUUGGCUCACUGGCGCCUGAAAUUACAGGAUGGGAGCAAAACGACUGGAAUAACAAAAAGCAAAAAAUAAAAAAGCUAUUAUUCCAUUUGUUUAACCCACUUGGAGAAUGAAAUAAAAAGAAAAGCCAUCAUGUGGAAUAAUCAUGGGAAAAAAUGUGCUUCAAUCCAAAUAAUACAGUUCAAUUCAAUUACAAAGUAAGCAGUGAAUAAACGAGCCUGUUUGAACGAGGGGAGGAAAAGCUUGCAGUAAUUAAUCACACGCUUGGCAGGGAGCUGCGUGGCCUGUUGGUCAGAAUACUAUUUAGUGGCUGUUCAAAUGUGGCUUUGGAGGGAAGGUGGUUAAGGGCAAAAGGGA